UACGUAGGGUGCGAGCGUUGUCCGGAUUUAUUGGGCGUAAAGAGCUUGUAGGCGGCUCGUCACGUCGGGUGUGAAAACUCGCGGCUCAACCGCGAGCCUGCACCCGAUACGGGCGGGCUGGAGUCGGCAGGGGAGACUGGAAUUCCUGGUGUAGCGGUGGAAAUGCGCAGAUAUCAGGAGGAACACCGGUGGCGAAGGCGGGACCUCUGGGCCGAUACUGACGCUGAGAAGCGAAAGCGUGGGGAGCGAACAG
rnacentral:rRNA from 1 species